rnacentral:lncRNA from 1 species
GGGAAAUGUAGUUUAUGGCAGGGUCUUUCCACUUCUCUGCCAUAGGGCUCCCCACCUUCCUAAACUACAUUUCCCAGAAUUCUGUGCUUUCUCAGUCUCUUUCCCAACUCACUCAGCUGGUCCCACCCUGCUGCUUCAUUCUCCUCAUGGCAAGAGGAUUAUCUCUUUUUAAUUUAAAGAGGAAUUACACCCUUUUUGGCUUUCCCUUGCUUGCGCCGAAAAUAAAACUGACUUCCAGGCAUUACAGAAUUCAAAUGAAAAAAUACUGGGAAAGGCAGACAUUUCGAGCAGCAGAUGCUGGAACAGAUAGCAGGAGCUGGACUGUUGGAAAUAAGAACUGAAUUCUAAAGGAAUUGUGGAUCAGUGAACCACACUGUCUCUGUGAGCCACACCUGGCCUGAAGACUAAAUGUUCCCUCACUAAGACUUAGAUAAAUGUAUAAGGUUUUAGAAAAAUUCAUGAGCUGAUCUAUAGCUAGGAAAUGAUUGCUAAAAAGAAUCUCAAUUUUUAAGAAGCAUUAUACCUACACAUAUGAGUAACUGGGGGACCAAAGGUGUUACUGAAAGCAUCUACUGUAUCUGAACUUCGUGACAACAUACUACAUGAUGAAAGGUACCAUUUGGUUGAUGUAACGGAGUUGUUAAUGUUUUUAAAUGCUAAAUAGAACUGCAAAGUUUUGUCAAUUUAAUUGCUAGUGGAUUGCCUGUUAAAGGUCAAUUUUAAUUGGUAUCGUUGUAAACUGUGGCAAAAAUUUUUUGUGUGUGGCUGUUUUGGAUCUGUUAACAAAAUUAAAGCCAUUCCUUGCAACUUUUCUUUAUUACAUUGCAUUUCCCACAAUAUUACAUCAAAGGUUUUUAAAAUGAGGCUUUGGUCAUAUACUCACAUGUUCAGUGGUAAUCCGUGCUCAGUUCUUCCGUCUCACCGUCACUCCCCUGCCUGCGGGUAAGUGGGUGGAGGUCAGCAGCUUCCACGACGGGUCCGAGGGGUCUGUCCCCCCUUUGCUCAACACUGGCGAUGGGUUCCUUUCCUCUCUCAACUCAUCUGCACCUCGAGGGUUCGCCUGUUCUUCUUCCAGGAAGAGGAAUUCCUUCAUGGUUUCUCCUCCAUCAGGGUUCAUGCUCUCACCGGAGAGACCUUUCCUCACGGGAUGAGCCGAAAAAAAAGGAGUAAAAUCUUAAUGUCAGUUCCUGGAAGGUGUAGGACACAAAAAAUAGGCUCACACUGCUGGUCGCAAUGGAAAACUUUAUUGAAUCCGCCUUGCCAAGAUGAUCGCAAAAGCUUUUACUGACCCUCUUCCGCUUUUCCCCUCAGUAUAUGGGGUUGUUGCCUCCCCCCUCCUCCUUCUCCAUCCACACCUCCCUUUCCUUUUGUCCUUUCCCACGUUUGAAGACCAGACCCUGUCAUAAAUCAGCCUAUCCCGCCAAAUGGUCUCCUUCCUCUGUCCUCUUGUAGUCAGGUUGCGAAAAGACCAGCUUUGAGGAUGCUGUUCUUUAUUGCACCCUGACAGUUCCCUCUGCCUUUCCCUGUUUGUGAAGAUUGAUGUUUUUCAAAGACAAUAUCAGAAUUACAGUCUUCUGUGCCACAGGAAAAUGGGAUCAGGCCCAGCAUUUUCAUUAAAUAUAUCUGCUUACUGCAGUUUUUUAAUACUGCAACUCCAUAUCCUGUAAAUUGGCAGUAGUUCUCAUGACUCCAUAAGAUGAUUGCAUUCAUGCCAAAAAAAGGUAAAGGUAAAGGUUUCCCCUGACGUUAAGUCUAGUCGUGUCCAACUCUGGGGGUUGGUGCUCAUCUCCAUUUCUAAGCCAAAGAGCCAGCGUUGUCCGUAGACACCUCCAAGGCCAGCAUGACUGCAUGGAACACCGUUACCUUCCCACCGGAGCAGUACUUAUUGAUCUACUCACAUUUGCAUGUUUUCGAACUGCUAGGUUGGCAGAAGUUGGAGCUAACAGCGGGCACUCACUCUGCUCUCCGGGUUUGAACCGGGGACCUUUCGGUCUGCAAGCUCAGCAACUCAGCGCUUUAACACACUGAGCCACCGGAGGCCAAACCUGCAUGGAUUUGUCCUUUAAGACCCAUCUACACUGCUCUAUAAAAUACAGAUUAUCUGUUUUGAACUGGAUUAAAUGGCAGUGUAGAUUCAUAUAAUCUAGUUCAAAGAACAGAAUGUGGAUUAUCUGAUUUGAUAAUCUGGAUUAUAUAGCAGUGUAGAUCCAGUUUCAGUUUUCUCAUGCUUUGCAUUAUGGAAAAGCAUAUUUUGAAAGAAACAUGGCAUAACAGGCUUUUCAAUGUAAGGAUGGAUCUAAUAAGGCUGGAUCUACAUUGACCUAUAUCCCAGUAUAGAUUCAUAAUCCAGUUCAAAGCAGAUAAUCUGGGAUCAGAUCCUGGGAUAUAGGGCAGUGUAGAUCCAGUUUAAGAUUGUAUAAUAAGAUCCCCAUAACUGUGGAACCCAUAUCCAUGGUUUCAGUUACCUGCACCCAGUAGAGACUAUUUCGUCUCCAGAAAUUUGCUAGGACCUCCGGGAGAUUCUGUUAGAUACUUCCCCAGAGAUUAACACAAGAGUUACCCUGAAGGAACUAGCAAAUUUUUAAAGAAGAUACCUGAAACCAAAAAUGAAGCAAUUCAAUGACAUUUAGUCAUAUUUGUGGUUUCACAUAACCACCCUCUAGCUUGGAACAUACCUCCAGCACAUACAAGGAACUUACUGUAUAAUAAAAUAAUUCCAGGGGAAAGGGAAGAGGAUGUAACAUUUUUCCACUGCAAGAUUGUGAUGUCGGAGCCUUGGGUCUUCUGCAUCAUUUCCGUGGUAAAAGGAAUUGCAUAUGCUGUCUCAAUAACAAUUGAACUGGGGCCAAUCCAUCCUUCUACAGAGAAUUCCAAUCAUGGUGUAAUGCACAUCUGAAUUAAGGCUGCACACUUCCUUGGAAAGAGCUCUUGAGAGCUAAAUUCUAUGCAGACCCACAGAGAAUUGUUCUGCGGCAGUUCUUGCAAGAUGACUGGAAUACUUUUCCUUGAUUGGUAUGCGGAAGCAGCGCUAAGCAGUUUCCAAAUAAAAGAUGGGCCUGAAUCACAGUCAAUCUUGGCUUGCUAACUUGGGGACUUUGAUGUGUUUGGAAGUGCAGCUGAGCAAUAGAAACUUAAAUAAGAACCGUUAACAGGCUGUAGCAUCGGGAAGGCUGCUAACGGCAAUCCUUAGCAUAUUUUGAGCUCCCUUUCCCCACUACUCUAUAUGCUCACUCAUCUUUUUUCAUUUAACACACUCCUCUUUUCAGGCAAGUUAUUUUUGUUCUAAUAAUGGACAGCUAUGGCUAGAUGGCAUUCAGUAUCUCUGAGUGGUGUUCAAAAUUCAUGGUUCAUUAUUUGAUGGGAGGCAUACAUGCUGAGAUUUUUUUUUGUUUGUUUAAAAUGCCAGGAAAAGUGGCAACUGUUUUCAGAUCAAACAAAACCAAUUUCAUCUUAAAACAAAAGUAAGGCUUCUAUAACCAUAUGAUUUGAUAAAAUAUGAAAUUGUGCAGGAAUGCAUCUAGCAGUUAGUUGGAUAUUUAAAAAAAUAAAAUUCUUAAUUUUAAAAAAAAUCUUCAAUAUUUUGGGCGCAACAUUUUACUCCUUCAGAGGAUGGCUGAAAAGCCAUAGGAUAUUAUGCAAGCAAAUGGCCACAGAAAGCUUCCUAAUGUAGUGACAUGGAAACUCUAGAAGGGAACCCAGAUCCUGGGUGGAAAGUCCCGGUGGACAAACAAAAGUAUUGUU